UACGUAAGCAGCAAGCGUUGUUCGGAGUUACUGGGCGUAAAGAGUAUGUAGGCGGUUGCGUAAGUUCGGUGUGAAAUCUCCCGGCUUAACUGGGAGGGUGCGCCGAAAACUGCGUGGCUAGAGUGCGGGAGAGGAGAGCGGAAUUCCUGGUGUAGCGGUGAAAUUCGUAGAUAUGGGGUGGAACACCGGUGGCGAAGGCGGCCAUCUGGACGACAACUGACGCUGAGACGCGAAAGCGUGGGAGCAACAGG
rnacentral:rRNA from 1 species